rnacentral:rRNA from 1 species
GAUGAACGCUGGCGGCGUGCCUAAUACAUGCAAGUCGAGCGAACAGACGAGGAGCUUGCUCCUCUGACGUUAGCGGCGGACGGGUGAGUAACACGUGGAUAACCUACCUAUAAGACUGGGAUAACUUCGGGAAACCGGAGCUAAUACCGGAUAAUAUAUUGAACCGCAUGGUUCAAUAGUGAAAGACGGUUUUGCUGUCACUUAUAGCUGGAUCCGCGCCGCAUUAGCUAGUUGGUAAGGUAACGGCUUACCAAGGCAACGAUGCGUAGCCGACCGGAGAGGGGGAUCGGCCACACUGGAACUGAGACACGGUCCAGACUCCUACGGGAGGCAGCAGUAGGGAAUCUUCCGCAAUGGGCGAAAGCUUGACGGAGCAACGCCGCGUGAGUGAUGAAGGUCUUCGGAUCGUAAAACUCUGUUAUUAGGGAAGAACAAAUGUGUAAGUAACUAUGCACGUCUUGACGGUACCUAAUCAGAAAGCCACGGCUAACUACGUG